rnacentral:snRNA from 1 species
CAUAACUCAUUUAAUUUUA